rnacentral:rRNA from 1 species
AGAGUUUGAUCCUGGCUCAGGAUGAACGCUAGCGGCAGGCUUAACACAUGCAAGUCGAGGGGUAGGGUUCUUCGGAAUCUGAGACCGGCGCACGGGUGCGUAACGCGUAUGCAAUCUGCCUUUCACAGAGGGAUAGCCCAGAGAAAUUUGGAUUAAUACCUCAUAGCAUAAUCAAACCGCAUGGUUCGAUUAUUAAAGUCACAACGGUGAAAGAUGAGCAUGCGUCCCAUUAGCUAGUUGGUAAGGUAACGGCUUACCAAGGCAACGAUGGGUAGGGGUCCUGAGAGGGAGAUCCCCCACACUGGUACUGAGACACGGACCAGACUCCUACGGGAGGCAGCAGUGAGGAAUAUUGGUCAAUGGGCGCAAGCCUGAACCAGCCAUGCCGCGUGCAGGAUGACGGUCCUAUGGAUUGUAAACUGCUUUUGUACGGGAAGAAACACUCCGACGUGUCGGAGCUGACGGUACCG